UCGGAUGUGGUGUAUGGUGCACAUUAGCUCUACAUAGGUAGACACCAAAUUCAGCUGAAGCUUGAUGAACGGGGUUCGACUCCCCGCAUCCGAA